UAACACGUAGGGGGCGAGCGUUGUUCGGAAUUACUGGGCGUAAAGGGCAUGUAGGCGGCUUGGUAAGCCUGGCGUGAAAGACUGCAGCUUAACUGUAGGGAUGCGUUGGGAACUGCUUAGCUUGAGUUACGGAGAGGGAGCUGGAAUUCCUGGUGUAGGGGUGAAAUCUGUAGAUAUCAGGAAGAACACCGAUGGCGAAGGCAAGCUUCUGGUCGAUAACUGACGCUGAGGUGCGAAAGUGUGGGGAUCAAACAGG
rnacentral:rRNA from 1 species